rnacentral:rRNA from 1 species
GAUAAACGCUGGCGGCGUGCAUGAGACAUGCAAGUCGAACGAGGUACCGGGCUUGCCUGGUGCCUAGUGGCGGACGGCUGAGUAACGCGUAGGUGACCUACCCCGAAGUGGGGAAUAACUGCCCGAAAGGGUGGCUAAUACCGCAUGUGGUCGCACGUUCGGUCGUGCGAGUAAAGCCGUGAGGCGCUUCGGGACGGGCCUGCGUCCGAUUAGCUCGUUGGUGAGGUAAUGGCUUACCAAGGCGACGAUCGGUAGGUGGUCUGAGAGGACGAUCACCCAGACUGGGACUGAGAAACGGCCCAGACUCCUACGGGAGGCAGCAGUCGGGAAUUUUGCUCAAUGGGGGAAACCCUGAAGCAGCAACGCCGCGUGAGGGAUGAAGGCCUUCGGGUUGUAAACCUCUUUUGUCAGGGACGAUGAUGACGGUACCUGGCGAAUAAGCCACGGCUAACUACGUGCCAGCCGCCGCCGUAACAC